rnacentral:rRNA from 1 species
UUAAAUUAACUUAGUGGCGGACGGGCGAGUAACACGUGAGCAACCUGCCUCUUACAGGGGAAUAACAACGGGAAACCGUUGCUAAUACCGCAUAACAUGUUGAAAGGGCAUCCUUUUAACAUCAAAGGAGCAAUCCGGUAAGAGAUGGGCUCGCGUCCGAUUAGCUAGUUGGUAGGGUAACGGCCUACCAAGGCGACGAUCGGUAGCCGGACUGAGAGGUCGAACGGCCGCAUUGGGACUGAGAUACGGCCCAGACUCCUACGGGAGGCAGCAGCG